GGUGCUGUGAGUUGCAAGGAAAUGUUGAGCUCUUCUUUGGUAUGAGGAGUCUCAGAGAGUCCCCACCCCUGAGCCUUGUCUGAGCUCUGCUGUCUCCAGGAGAGGCACUGUGGCACCCAGCACUUCGCAAUCUUCAUCACGCACAUGAAUCCCCAGAGUAUCCUGUCAAAUGCACGUUCUGUUUCUGCUGGUCUGGAUUGGGGCUCUACCAACUGAGCUUCCAGGAGAUGCCAAAGCUGUGAGUCAGUGGUGGCCCACACUUUGAGUAGAGAGGUUCUGAAGGAACGAAAUGAGGAUUUAAGCAGUCUAGACCUGAAUUAGAAUCCUUGAUCAGCUCCUUGUAAAUGGCAAGGCUUAGGCGAAACACUUUUGUCUUCCAAAACUCCACUUCUUCAUCUGCAGAACAAGUGACCCAGGAUGUCGGAAGAUGCCUCUGCCCAUCUCGGCUUCCAGAGAGAUCUACCUUGCCCAUAUGACAAGCGUCAGAGAUGUGUGAGAGAGGAAUGCUAAAUCCAGACCAUGUUCAAGCAGAGAGCAUGACGGGAGAUUGGGGUGGCCCCGAGCUAAGGGAAGUUGAUAUAAUGGUGGCCGUGAAGGCAUCUUAACCAAAUAGAACCUUUUAAACCAGG